UAUAUUUUAGUAUAAAAAGUACGUAAGUUUUUGAAACUUAAAGAAACUAAUUAAUUUAGUUAAAUAUAG
rnacentral:tRNA from 1 species